rnacentral:rRNA from 1 species
GGGUUGUGAGGUUAAGCGACUAAGCGUACACGGUGGAUGCCCUGGCAGUCAGAGGCGAUGAAGGACGUGCUAAUCUGCGAAAAGCGUCGGUAAGGUGAUAUGAACCGUUACAGCCGGCGAUGUCCGAAUGGGGAAACCCAGUGCAAUUCGUUGCACUAUCGUUAACUGAAUACAUAGGUUAACGAGGCGAACCGGGGGAACUGAAACAUCUAAGUACCCCGAGGAAAAGAAAUCAACCGAGAUUCCCCCAGUAGCGGCGAGCGAACGGGGAGCAGCCCAGAGUCUGAAUCAGCUUGUGUGUUAGUGGAACGGUCUGGAAAGUCCGACGGUACAGGGUGAUAGUCCCGUACACCAAAAUGCACAGGCUGUGAACUCGAAGAGUAGGGCGGGACACGUGGUAUCCUGUCUGAAUAUGGGGGGACCAUCCUCCAAGGCUAAAUACUCCUGACUGACCGAUAGUGAACCAGUACCGUGAGGGAAAGGCGAAAAGAACCCCGGCGAGGGGAGUGAAAAAGAACCUGAAACCGUGUACGUACAAGCAGUGGGAGCACCUUCGGGUGUGACUGCGUACCUUUUGUAUAAUGGGUCAGCGACUUAUAUUCUGUAGCAAGGUUAACCGUAUAGGGGAGCCGCAGGGAAACCGAGUCUUAACUGGGCGUUAAGUUGCAGGGUAUAGACCCGAAACCCGGUGAUCUAGCCAUGGGCAGGUUGAAGGUUGGGUAACACUAACUGGAGGACCGAACCGACUAAUGUUGAAAAAUUAGCGGAUGACUUGUGGCUGGGGGUGAAAGGCCAAUCAAACCGGGAGAUAGCUGGUUCUCCCCGAAAGCUAUUUAGGUAGCGCCUCGUGAAUUCAUCUUCGGGGGUAGAGCACUGUUUCGGCUAGGGGGUCAUCCCGACUUACCAACCCGAUGCAAACUACGAAUACCGAAGAAUGUUAUCACGGGAGACACACGGCGGGUGCUAACGUCCGUCGUGAAGAGGGAAACAACCCAGACCGCCAGCUAAGGUCCCAAAGUCAUGGUUAAGUGGGAAACGAUGUGGGAAGGCACAGACAGCCAGGAUGUUGGCUUAGAAGCAGCCAUCAUUUAAAGAAAGCGUAAUAGCUCACUGGUCGAGUCGGCCUGCGCGGAAGAUGUAACGGGGCUAAACCAUGCACCGAAGCUGCGGCAGCGACACUAUGUGUUGUUGGGUAGGGGAGCGUUCUGUAAGCCUGCGAAGGUGUGCUGUGAGGCAUGCUGGAGGUAUCAGAAGUGCGAAUGCUGACAUAAGUAACGAUAAAGCGGGUGAAAAGCCCGCUCGCCGGAAGACCAAGGGUUCCUGUCCAACGUUAAUCGGGGCAGGGUGAGUCGACCCCUAAGGCGAGGCCGAAAGGCGUAGUCGAUGGGAAACAGGUUAAUAUUCCUGUACUUGGUGUUACUGCGAAGGGGGGACGGAGAAGGCUAUGUUAGCCGGGCGACGGUUGUCCCGGUUUAAGCAUGUAGGCUGGUUGUCCAGGCAAAUCCGGAUAAUCAAGGCUGAGGUGUGAUGACGAGGCACUACGGUGCUGAAGUAACAAAUGCCCUGCUUCCAGGAAAAGCCUCUAAGCAUCAGGUAACAUCAAAUCGUACCCCAAACCGACACAGGUGGUCAGGUAGAGAAUACCAAGGCGCUUGAGAGAACUCGGGUGAAGGAACUAGGCAAAAUGGUGCCGUAACUUCGGGAGAAGGCACGCUGGUGUGUAGGUGAAGCCCCUGCGGGUGGAGCUGAGACCAGUCGAAGAUACCAGCUGGCUGCAACUGUUUAUUAAAAACACAGCACUGUGCAAACACGAAAGUGGACGUAUACGGUGUGACGCCUGCCCGGUGCCGGAAGGUUAAUUGAUGGGGUUAUCCGUAAGGAGAAGCUCUUGAUCGAAGCCCCGGUAAACGGCGGCCGUAACUAUAACGGUCCUAAGGUAGCGAAAUUCCUUGUCGGGUAAGUUCCGACCUGCACGAAUGGCGUAAUGAUGGCCAGGCUGUCUCCACCCGAGACUCAGUGAAAUUGAACUCGCUGUGAAGAUGCAGUGUACCCGCGGCAAGACGGAAAGACCCCGUGAACCUUUACUAUAGCUUGACACUGAACAUUGAGCCUUGAUGUGUAGGAUAGGUGGGAGGCUUUGAAGCGUGGACGCCAGUCUGCGUGGAGCCAACCUUGAAAUACCACCCUUUAAUGUUUGAUGUUCUAACGUUGGCCCCUUACCGGGGUUGCGGACAGUGUCUGGUGGGUAGUUUGACUGGGGCGGUCUCCUCCCAAAGCGUAACGGAGGAGCACGAAGGUUAGCUAAUCCUGGUCGGACAUCAGGAGGUUAGUGCAAUGGCAUAAGCUAGCUUGACUGCGAGCGUGACGGCGCGAGCAGGUGCGAAAGCAGGUCAUAGUGAUCCGGUGGUUCUGAAUGGAAGGGCCAUCGCUCAACGGAUAAAAGGUACUCCGGGGAUAACAGGCUGAUACCGCCCAAGAGUUCAUAUCGACGGCGGUGUUUGGCACCUCGAUGUCGGCUCAUCACAUCCUGGGGCUGAAGUAGGUCCCAAGGGUAUGGCUGUUCGCCAUUUAAAGUGGUACGCGAGCUGGGUUUAGAACGUCGUGAGACAGUUCGGUCCCUAUCUGCCGUGGGCGCUGGAGAAUUGAGGGGGGCUGCUCCUAGUACGAGAGGACCGGAGUGGACGCAUCACUGGUGUUCGGGUUGUCAUGCCAAUGGCACUGCCCGGUAGCUAAAUGCGGAAGAGAUAAGUGCUGAAAGCAUCUAAGCACGAAACUUGCCCCGAGAUGAGUUCUCCCUGAGACUUUAAGUCUCCUGAAGGAACGUUGAAGACGACGACGUUGAUAGGCCGGGUGUGUAAGCGCAGCGAUGCGUUGAGCUAACCGGUACUAAUGAACCGUGAGGCUUAACCUUACAACGCCGAAG